GCCCGCAUGGCUCAGUGGUAGAGCGUGUCACUUGUACUUUCAUCAACAUGAAAGAAAAUAGCAAUGAUAAGGUCGCUAGUUCGAUUCUGGCUGUGGGCA